CGUCAUUAUCUAUUCUUCCCCUUCUCCCUGGAAUCUCUCUCGCUCCUAUCUGCCAUGCCCCCGCCGCCACACACCGCCCCAACCUCCGCCAGCGACUGCGCGAGAGCUCCGUGCCAGGCUGCCUCCCUUCGACGUUGUAGCCUCCGACGCCGCACACACCGCCCCCAGCCUCCAUACUCGCCUCCGCAGCGGUCCGGCGCUGCCAUCUACCUCCUGCGCCGUAGCCGCCGUUGCCUCCCUCCAUACUCGCCUCCGCACCGAGCCGGCGCAGCCAUCUCCCUCCUCCGCCGUAGUCGCCGCUGCCUCCCUCCGUGUGCUCGAACCCCUCUCCCCAUCCCCGAUACCAAUCAGCACCGAUGGAAGCUGCGGUGGCGCCGACGAGCGCGCGUACAAGCUCGUCGUGGCCGUGCUCGUGGCUGGAAGAGAAGACCCGUGCCGCGGCGCCCAACAACAAGGCAGGCGGUUCCGGACGACCUCCUUGUGGAGGUGCUCGCACGCAUCCCGUCCUUCCCGCUCUUCCGCCUCCGCCCCUGCUCUUCUGCCUCCGCUCCAAUCGCUCACCUUUCGGUGAUGCUGUCGCUCACUUUGGUUCCAACCGCCAGAUGUAAUUGUGACGGUCAAAGUGACAUCCCCUGAGCCUGGCAAGUAACUUUCGGUGAUGUUCUCGUGCAACAACAAAAAAAAGAGGACGGAGAUCUGAUUGAGUAACCUUUUUGCCGCGUUGAAUGUAAUUCGUGGGGCAUCUUUUUCUUGCCCAGAUGAACAAAUGUGUGGCGGUGCAGAGGAUAGGAAAAAAACAUUUGAUAGUUGAAUUGUUUACUUGAUGUCACAUGGAGGACGGGGGACCACGACAGGAAGAGAGAAGGAAAUGUCAUUGUCUCAUGCGGGACCGCAUCAGGAUAGAAAUCUGUCGGGACACACCUUUUAUGUCAAAAAGUGCUCGCGCACUCCCUAGCCGCCCCCCAAAAAAAU